rnacentral:SRP_RNA from 1 species
GGGAGGUUGGCGGUGGACGCAACACUCGCCAACCGGGUCAGAUCCGGAAGGAAGCAGCCCCAACGAGACCGCUGCGGGUCUUCGUCCAACCUCCUACC